rnacentral:rRNA from 1 species
AUUGAACGCUGGCGGCAGGCCUAACACAUGCAAGUCGAGCGGAGGAAGGGAGCUUGCUCCUGGAUUCAGCGGCGGACGGGUGAGUAAUUCCUAGGAAUCUGCCUGGUAGUGGGGGAUAACGUCCGGAAACGGGCGCUAAUACCGCAUACGUCCUGAGGGUGAAAGUGGGGGAUCUUCGGACAUCACGCUAUCAGAUGAGCCUAGGUCGGAUUAGCUAGUUGGUGGGGUAAAGGCCUACCAAGGCGACGAUCCGUAACUGGUCUGAGAGGAGGAUCAGUCACACUGGAACUGAGACACGGUCCAGACUCCUACGGGAGGCAGCAGUGGGGAAUAUUGGACAAUGGGCGAAAGCCUGAUCCAGCCAGGCCGCGUGUGUGAAGAAGGUCUUCGGAUUGUAAAGCACUUUAAGUUGGGAGGAAGGGCAGUAAGUUAAUACCUUGCUGUUUUGACGGUACCAACAGAAUAAGCACCGGCUAACUUCGUG